GUUUUCCUGUGGCUCAGUUGGUACAGCACUGUGCAAAUGAAGCAAAGGUUGUGGGUUCAAAUCCCAGGGAAAGCA
rnacentral:tRNA from 1 species